rnacentral:rRNA from 1 species
CAGUCGCCGCGGUAAUGCGGAGGGGGCUGGCGUUGUUCGGAAUUACUGGGCGUAAAGCGCACGUAGGCGGCUCGGUAAGUUAGAGGUGAAAGCCUGGAGCUCAACUCCAGAAUUGCCUUUAAGACUGCCGAGCUAGCAGGUGAGAGAGGUAAGUGGAAUUCCGAGUGUAGAGGUGAAAUUCGUAGAUAUUCGGUAGAACACCAGUGGCGAAGGCGGCUUGCUGGCUCAUUCUAGACGCUGAGGUGCGAAAGCGUGGAGGGCAAACAGGAUUAGAUACCCCCGUAGUCCCUGUCUCUUAUAA